rnacentral:rRNA from 1 species
AAUUAAAGAGUUUGAUCCUGGCUCAGGACGAACAUUGGCGGCGCGCCUAAUGCAUGCAAGUCGAGCGAACUCGUUUUCUUCGGAAAACAUAUAGUUAGCGGCGAACGGCUGAGUAACGCGUAAGUAACCUGCCUCGAAGAGGGGAAAAACCAUGAGAAAUCAUGGCUAAUUCCGCGUAAUAUCAAUUAAUUAAUUUAAUUGAAGAAAGAUUUAUCGCUUUGAGAUGGGCUUGCGUCCUAUCAGGUAGUUGGUGAGGUAAUAGCUCACCAAGCCUAAGACGGGUAGCUGGAGUGAGAGCUUGACCAGCCAGAGGGGGACUGAGACACGGCCCCCACUCCUACGGGAGGCAGCAGCAGGGAAUCUUGCACAAUGGGCGAAAGCCUGAUGCAGCGACGCCGCGUGAGGGAUGAAGGUUUUAGGAUCGUAAACCUCUUUUCUUAGGGAAUAGUUUGGAAGGUACCUAAGGAAUAAGUCACGGCUAACUACGUGCCAGCAGCCGCGGUAAUACGUAGGUGGCAAAUGUUGUCCGGAAUCAUUGGGCGUAAAGGGUCCGUAGGUGGCUUGAAUAGUCUUAUGUGAAAUCUCUUGGCUCAACCAAGAAACGCCAUAAGAAACUUUCAAGCUAGAGAUCAUCAGAGGGAGGUAGAAUUCCAGGUGUAGUGGUGAAAUGCGUAGAUAUCUGGAGGAAUACCAAUGGCGAAAGCAGCCUCCUGGGGUGAAUCUGACAUUGAGGGACGAAAGCGUGGGUAGCAAACCGGAUUAGAUACCCGGGUAGUCCAUGCCGUAAACGAUGAAUACUGGGUCUUCGGGGAAUCGACCCCCUGUGGACCGAAGCUAACGCGUUAAGUAUUCCGCCUGGGGAGUACGGUCGCAAGACUAAAACUCAAAGGAAUUGACGGGGGCCCGCACAAGCAGCGGAGCGUGUGGUUUAAUUCGAUGGUAAACGAAGAACCUUACCUAGGUUUGACAUAUAAGUAGUACUGAUCCGAAAGGUGAUGGACCCGCAAGGGAGCUUAUACAGGUGCUGCAUGGUUGUCGUCAGCUCGUGCCGUGAGGUGUUGGGUUAAGUCCCGCAACGAGCGCAACCCUCGUGGAUAGUUGUUUUCUUUAUCCAGACUGCUUUUACAAGAGGAAGGUGGGGAUGACGUCAAAUCAUCAUGGCUCUUACACCUAGGGCUACACACACGCUACAAUGGACAGUACAGACGGUUGCUAAGUCGCAAGAUGGAGCCAAUCCGAAAAAGCUGUCCCCAAUUGGGAUUGUAGGCUGAAACUCGCCUGCAUGAACCUGGAGUUGCUAGUAACCGCAGGUCAGCAUACUGCGGUGAAUACGUUCCCGGGCCUUGUACACACCGCCCGUCACGUCAUGGAAGUUUGAAACACUUGAAGUCGCUGGGCUUACCUUUUAGGAGGCAGGCGCCGAGAGUGGGGCAAAUGACUGGGACGAAGUCGUAACAAGGUAGCUGUACCGGAAGGUGCGGCUGGAUCACCUCCUUUCU